rnacentral:sRNA from 1 species
UAUUGCCUCAGGCUGACCCAACUAUAAUCUAAAUAUAAAUGAUCAAUUUGCCAGGUAGAGCGAGUGCUUUCUAAUUUUCUGUUUAUAUUUGCAGUGUCUGUCUCCCAUAACUCAGACCUCUUGCACUAGGCAGUACUUGUGCUCAACGCAAUCUUCCCAGUUGUUUCCUCUCUGAUUGCUUUGCUUGUAGUUCUCUGUCUCCUUUUCUUCUUUGUUUCAGAGCUUUUAAUCUUCAUCUUGGCUCUGCCCCAGCUGUCUCAACAGAGAAUUCAUUGGUCAUCUAAUCAAACGAGAGAGUAGUUCCCACCCCCUCAGCCUCUCUCCUAACUAUUAUGGAUCUUAGGAGAGCUAUUUUUGCCAGUGAAGGUUGCUGGCAUCAUCUCUGCUGCAAUUGUGAUGAUCGCCAUUCUUGCCCUGGGGAAGCUUCUGGAACCCUUGCAGAAGUCGGUCUUGGCAGCUGUCGUAAUUGCCAACCUGAAAGGGAUGUUUAUGCAGGUGUGUGACAUUCCUCGUCUGUGGAGGCAGAAUAAGAUUGAUGCUGUUAUCUGGGUGUUUACGUGUAUAGUGUCCAU